GGAGAACGCGACCACAACGUGGCGCCCAGUUGAGGGGGAACCCUUGCGAAAUACGGAGAGGCGCUCCCACACCCUCCAAUCUCCAACCACCACUGUCAACUCCUCCAGAGGCAGGUAUCCUACCCCGGCCCUGGGAGGCCGACUGGGCGGAGCUUGGGGUCCGGACCACGCGGAGCCCUGGCAGUGUCUAUGCCUAGAUCUCGCCGCCCUGCCGUCCACCCAUUUCUCCCUACCUGACUCGGCCGUCGCCACCAACGCGCUCUCCCAACCCUCGGAGUCAGUUCCAAAACCAAACCAAAAAGGAGGAGAGCAGACAAGGCUUCAGCCUGCGACUGAGAACAGGGAGGCGGCACGCCUUGGGGAACGAGGGCCCGAGGCCAUACGCGCUAAUACAGGCCAGUGUCGGCGUAAACUUUCUCCGUUACCGGCCCGGCCGCGACCGCCAUGUUUCCGCCGCCGAAAUCCGCGACGGUACGGAACGCCGCCGGGGUCAAACUGCGCGGCGCGCCUCCUUCCCGAGGCCCGGCCCCCUCCCCGCCCAAACCCGCGCGCCGCCACACACUCAGGUGAGCAAGGCGCUGCGCGAGUGUCAACUGCCCCACCUAAGGCGCCUGCCUUCCUCAAGCCAAAGUCGACUCCUGGGACCUGGAAUCAGCAGCUGAGAACAGACAGCGGGAAGACCACCAAAGAUCAGGCUGACAGUGCCCAUCAAGCAUCUAGGCCACCGCCUCGGGCUGGACCGAACGGGGACAGGGUGGACAGGACUGCCACGCGUGGGCUGUAAAUACUGCGGGAGGCGUUGCUGCUCAUUAAUAUAUAUGGCAUAAUAUAUGGCUUUGUAACCAGCUAAGGCCCAAGCUCCUUAGGCCCUCCCUCAGACCUUUCAGUUCCUCAAAUGCAGGGACAUGUCGGGUUUUGCUCAACAUUAAAUCACCUUAGCAUAGUGCCUGACACAUAGUUGGCACUUAAAUAUUUGUAAAAUAAUAAUAUGCAAUAGGCUCUCCACGAUCCGUAGUUCUCUCCUCCCACUUGUUUUGCAUGUAUUAUCUAUAUAUUUUUCCUAUUUUCCAUAAUAGAGUGUGAAUUUCCUAAUUUUCAUAAUAGAUGUUGGGGGUUGGUGUGGCCAGCACAUCUAUAGGAAUGAACAACUCUCAGAUUGAGAUUCUGCAUAUGUGGAUGAAAAUUUUGAGUUAGAUUCUCUCUAGACUCCUGAUUUUAAAAGCAAUCACAACUCAACUUCCCAAAUCUGUAACUAGCUCUCUGGGGAACACGAGUGCCACAUUUCCAACUACCUGCUAGAUGUUUCUACUCAAAUAUAUUGUCAUCACUUCCAACUCAACUUGCCUUUAAUGGACAUUUAUAUACAUUUAUUAUGCCCCCCAUUUGAAUCCCCUUCCGUAUUUGGAGAAUUCCCCACCUGAGUUAAGAGUCUAAUGGCUGCCGCUGAAAUGCUGAACACUUGUUUAACUAAUCAUGUGUACCCGCUGGAAGCCAUGAGUCAAAAAAGGCACAGAAAGCUACACUCCCAGGUCACCUGUAGGAGUAUAGCAAGUGUAGAGAUCGAGAACCCAUCCCUAACAGCAAGGUAAGCUUCCGAGGCAGUAGUGAGAGUGCUGGCAUCCACCAUUAACAUGUCAGAGAUGCAAGAUGCCUGUGCUUGGUGAGGGUCACAACCCCAGAGCCCUUUCCCAAUCUGUUCUGUAGCCUGUUAACAGUCUCUGUGUACAUUUCUGGGUAGCCUGUGACAGACUCUGUACUACAUAGCUGUGAGGCAGGACAAUAGGGUCUGGAGGCAAGGAACUUACGGCUGAUUCAUGCUGACUUUCUAGAACUAAAUCAAAAGGAAAGCCCCAACUUUCCACAGCUAAGUAACAAAGGGACCCGGCCCCCUCCCCCACCACCGCCCUUUUCUGCGUGGCAGACGGAAAAUUGAAAGUACCUCGGAUUGGUUGCUUUCCAUAACUAAUUAAAUGUUUGCAUAGGGUGUAACCUUUGUAACUUCGCUUCAGGCUCUGAUUGGUUGCUUUCCGCUAUCAGACUGAUUGUGGGCCACUAUAUUUGCGUGGGGUGUACACCAAGUGGCCAAUGGGAAACCUCUAGAGGGUGUUUAUACCCCAGAAAAUUCUAUAACCCGGCCGCCCCGCUCUUGAGCCCCAUGUUCCGGCUCUUCACACCCUGUGGAGUGUACUUUCAUUUUCAAUAAAUCUCUGCUUUUGUUGCUUCAUUCCUUCCUUGCUUUGUUUGUGCGUUUUGUCUAAUUCCUUGUUCAAGAUGCCAAGAACCUGGACACCUUCCACCGGUAACAGCCAAGGUAGAUUCUGGCCAUGUAGGUGCAAGCCUCAAUCUCCAGCUAUCCUUUGAACUACUUAGCGUCCUCUAGUAAACUUACUUUCUGCUUAAAUUAGCUACAGCUGCAUUCAGUUGCUUAGCACUAAGACCAGCUCACUAAAUCAGUGGUUUUUCAUCAUCUUCCUCUAACAUGGUCUUCUGCCUUAUGACUUUAAAACCAUUUUUGAUGCUUGUUAUCUUGUCCUUAUACUUUAGAAUACUUCAGUGAGAUGUGUGUAUGUUUGAAAGUUAAUCUGCACAGCCCAGGGUGGGUAAUUAGCAUUUGAAAGACUAAUCAAAAAUGUUCACUGCAGAGUUGAAUGCACAGAUGCUUCCAGUAUCACCAUGUAAAUCUGCACUAGAUGUACCUUAGUUAGCAUAAAGGAUUAGAAAGAAUUCUUCAUUGUGGAAACAAGAUGUUCAAAAUACGUGGCUGGUUAGAAUACUGUACAAGCACUUAUGCAUAACUGUGGCGUAGAAAUCUGCUGUGUAGCAGACCGACAGCCUUCAGAAUGGCUUAGUCUAGACUUCUGUUUAAUAUUUUGCCACAAAGUACUGUUUGUGUACUGUUUUUUGUGUCUGCUUGCUGAUAAGAUUUGUGUAGUAGCAUUCAGUCUGAGACUUGUUUUAACUGUAUGACACUACCUAGUACCGAGGGAGGAGAAAGAUAGCCUUGUCAAUCUUUAGUUAUUGAAGGAUACCAGUAUUUACCAAAAAAAAUUUGACACUUAUGAAUGACCAAGUGCUGUUCAUUUUCAUCCACCCUAUCUCUUGCAUUUAUUAUUUCCCAUCAACUUCUAUUGCUUCUACUCUGUUACGGUAUUACUUCAGUAACCUCUAUGCUGGUCAUCUUGAUUUCAGCCUCAGCUCAGUCUAACCCAUUACACAGGCCCCUGGCUGAUGCUCUC
rnacentral:lncRNA from 1 species